ACCCUCAGCAUGGUCAUGCUGAAUAGCUGCGCGUUUACCGCUACGGCUAUCUGGGUCGGAAGAAGAUGAGGAUCGCAUAUCGGAUUAUAUAGUCCGGUCAGCUGAAUCUGGCUUCCCCAUCGGCACAAGCCGCUUAAGAAUAUCGGAAGAAAUUGGAUUCAGUUUGGAUUUGGAGUUUGGACUCACCGACAUCCGGAUAUUUAGAGACGGAUCCCGAUCUAAACAGCAAAGAAAGCGAUCAGGUCCGCUAGGUCCGCUAAAAAGGCCUGGAGAAGGAGAAUUGCUAAUCCAGCUUUUUACGCUAGCUAUAAAACGACAGGGGGUGAUUAGAUUUUGCCAUUUAUUUGCUACUGAUUUUAUAGUUUGGUCUAAGUAGGCUGUAAUUUGAGAUUGUUGAUUCGACUGUCAAUAAUUUUCACUCGUGCUUCCACAGCAUUUGUUUUGCAGCUAAGUUUCAUUCGAAUAUAAAUUCUUGAAAAUUCACCAUUUAUUAACAACUAUUAUUGUACAAUUUUAGGCAUAAUCAAAAAUCCUGAAGCUUGUAGAAAGAUCAAAUAUGGCAGAGCCAAAGGCACAAUAUUCUACCAAUAGAGACAGUGUUGUUUCAUCGUUAUGUCUAUUUGCCAUCUCGACUUUUUUGCUACCACGGACAGCUGUCUUGAUAUAACUAAAAAAAAUCGCAUUCAAACCACAAGACUUGCAAAUUAAAUUGUAAGAAAAAACAUAGAAAAAAUCGUAAAUACACAAUCCAGGUGGUCAAAACCUGGUCUAUCUCAAUUUACACCUAUAUUAUAAGCAGCGACACACAUUGGUUAUUCUUAUAUUACGUGUCUUUUACCACGUCAAAUUCGAUGAUUUCCGGGCAUAGGCCUUUUCAUAUGCUUUUCCUUUUGCAUUUCCAUUUGCGUUGCACAGAAAUGUGAUUGUUCGUAUGUUGAGUACAAGGAAAUACGCAAACGAUGGUACGGAACCAAGCGGGAAAUAUCUCAGUAAUAGCAGCUUAAUAGGUAUCAGACUGUUAAAUUUAUUAUUAAAUUAUUAGAAUAAAAUAGUAUUCCCGAUUGGGGCUUACCGAGGAAUUGUUCAGGUUAGGAUGUAGAAAGAUGAGGAAAGGUGUUAUAAAUUGCAUUGCUAACAGGACCGCUUAUUAUUGCGAAAUCGCAUAUAAAAGUGCGAGAUAACGUCGGAUCGGUCAUCGGAUCCGGAGUCAUAAUACGUCAAUUGGAUCCGGGUUCAUUAUAUGUCUCAGUGAACAAACCAACUUAACAUUUCGAGCGCAUUAGUUCGAAAAAAAAAUGCUGUCAGGAGUCGUCACGGCCGCGUUUAUUUAUUAAUUUCAGUAAACACGAUUAAGCACUCUUUUCACAGGCACAAUUACAACCAAAACCCUU